rnacentral:rRNA from 1 species
UACAGAGGGUGCGAGCGUUUGUCCGGAAUCACUGGGCGUAAAGGGCGCGUAGGCGGUCUGGUAAGCGUGUGGUGAAAGCUCGGGGCUCAACCCCGAGUCGGCCGUGCGAACUGCGAGACUGGAGCAGAUCAGAGGCAGGCGGAAUUCCGGGUGUAGCGGUGGAAUGCGUAGAGAUCCGGAAGAACACCGGUGGCGAAGGCGGCCUGCUGGGAUCUUGCUGACGCUGAGGCGCGACGCGU